rnacentral:lncRNA from 10 species
CUCUUAUUGGAGUUUUUAUAUUUACUUACAAAAAAUAAGGUAACAUUUUCUUACUAUUAUCUAUUAUUUCCUCUCUAAUUAUCUCCCCCCCCUUUUUUUGUUUUUGUUUGUUUGUUUGUUCUGAGACAGUCUUGCUCUGUCACCCAGGCUGGAUGGAGUGCAGUGGUAUGAUCAUAGCUAACUGCAGCCUCAAUUUCCUGGGCUCAAGCAAUCCUCCUGCCCCAGCCUUCCAGGUAGCUGGGAACACAGGAUUGUGAUGGAGAUGAAAGAAGAGCAUUGAAUAGUAACUGGCAAUAGUGAAAACUCAGCAAAAGUGACCCAUUGGGCCAUGAUCUUGGCCCAGUCUACCCUGAGCACUAUAGCACAAUGUUUAAAAUAUAGUAGGUCUUGAAUUGCAUGCAUUUGUGGAUGGAUGAAGACUGUUAUUCUCUGGCUUAGCCACUGUGAUUGAUUGUUAGCAGCUGAGCAUUAUUUUGGACCUAUUCUACAUUCUUCCCUGCAUGUUGGGGGAAGAGCCUCAGGUAUACAUUUUUUGGAAUCCCUUUCCAGUGGGGUUAUGUAUUUGAUUUUGCCGAUGAAAGUUGUUUGCCCAAGAUUUGAAAAGGAAAGAGAAGAAAAAUGAUUAUACCUUUGGGAGCAGCUGGGGAGAGGUGCAUGGACUCUGGCAGAAGACACAUGGAGUGUUUUUGCAGCCAUAUAUGGGCUAUCUCCUAAGAAACAUAUACUUUGCUGCUACAUGAAUCUGAGCCCUUCAGUGGCAGCUUGGAUUUCUGAUUUCUGCACUGGUGGAUUUCUUCGUAGCAGUAGUAGCUCCUCAGUGUGAAAGGAAAAUAAAAGCUUGGGACCCCCAAUGCACUAUGCCACAAGGAAAAAAUUAAGCUGAAAGCUGAGUCAAGCAAGACACUGACUUUCCUUUUGUUUCUAAGCAGAUAGCUACAAUAAAAGGUUAAAAAUCCCCACGGGUAGCUACUCUAUGUAAAGCGCCAAUUUACUGAGUGCCAAACGAAUACAUAAUUGAGUAUUCCCCUACCUGCUCCUUUUCCCUUGCAGCAUGUGAAUUUAGUAGUGUGAUCAUACCCUUCCUUUUCCUCCUCCAGCCUGCUUUUCCCCGUUCAAUACUGAAGCCCUCAAAAUUAUUUUCGAAGAAGGCACAGACCUAUCUCCCAGGCAUGUCCUCAAUUUUGGCAAAAUAAAUUUCUAAACUGAUU